UUGUACCCAAUGAAGAAUGGGGCUGAUGUGCAUCAAUCCCAAUGCACAUUGCAUCGGUCCUGAGAGAUAGCACAUUGAUCCUGAUGCAUAUUGGGCACCAAUGCACAUCAGCGCUCUUGCUGAUGUCUCAUUAUACAUGUUUGUAAUUCAGGAAAGGGGUUUCUUAGGACCUCUGCUACGUAGCAAGCUACUUCGAGGAAAAUAUGAAGUAUAAAUAAAGAUAACACGACCAUCACCAGUACCAGCAAUAACAGUAGCACUUGGAAGGGGGUACUCUUGCUGCGUUUGGGGAAAUUUUGAUGGGCUGCCUAACUAUGUUGACCAUAAAUCAGACACAGGAGAAUAUUCUCUAAGCAGUGCCUGGCAAUAAAGCAGAACCAUGCACCCAGCAACACCUUUGAUCUCAACCAUAUGGAGCUCCUCCGUGCUCUUGGAUAAAAAAAAAACCUUCUCCCUUUCCUCCGAUGCAGGCCGAGAAAUACCAGGAGCUCCCAGAUGGCUGUAUACCACUCCUGACUGCGACUUCAUUGAUUAUUUUCUCUUCUGAUUGGUCCUGAUUGAAAAUAAA